UACAGAGGUGCUCAAGCGUUGUUUCGGAUUCAUUGGGGCGUAAAAGGGUGCGUAGGCGGCGCGGUAAGUCGGGUGUGAAAUCUCAGAGCUCAACUCUGAAACUGCACUCGAUACUGCUUUGCUUGAGGACUGGAGGAGGAGAUUGGAAUUCACGGUGUAGCAGUGAAAUGCGUAGAUAUCGUGAGGAAGACCAGUGGCGAAGGCGGGAUCUCUGGGACAAGUUCCUGACGCUGAGGCGCGAAGGCCAGGGGAGCAAACGGG
rnacentral:rRNA from 1 species